rnacentral:rRNA from 1 species
UACGAAGGGGGCUAGCGUUGUUCGGAUUCACUGGGCGUAAAGCGCGCGUAGGCGGGUUUUUAAGUCAGGGGUGAAAUCCCAAGGCUCAACCUUGGAGGGUCAUUGGAAACUGGGGGACUUGAGUGCAGAAGAGGAGAGUGGAAUUCCACGUGUAGCGGUGAAAUGCGUAGAGAUGUGGAGGAACACCAGUGGCGAAGGCGACUCUCUGGUCUGUAACUGACGCUGAGGCGCGAAAGCGUGGGGAGCAAACAGG